GCAGAAAUGGCGGAACUGGCAGACGCGCUUGAUUUAGGAUCAAGAUAUUGAGGGUUCGAAUCCCUUUUUCUGUACAA
rnacentral:tRNA from 5 species